rnacentral:lncRNA from 1 species
UAUACUUCUUGCAUAGAUAAAGAUUAAAAACCACUGGUGUGCGGUCUUUAUCUAUGCUUCUAGUUCUAGCUUAAAAUCCAAGUCAAUUCAGAAGAUGUCAACACCUAAAUAGCCCCCAGGUGGCGCGAGUGUCUUCGUGGGACUAAAACCGGCAAACCGCCAUUUUUCUUUCCGAGACCGGUGAGACAGAGUCGGCUGCAGUGCUGGUGAUCAAUCACAAUCAUUAGUUCCUACAAGAUGUCGAAUGCGAAAUUACUGUUUGACGUUCGCCACGUUAAACUUGGAAGAAAAUUGAUUGAAAUUGUAGAGUUAAUUCAAUUCAUGGAUCUUUAAAAAGGUUAUAAAGAGACUCCAUUCUCAGCACGUGAUCGAUCCUGUUCACCAUGCUGUUCACGUUUAUUAGAUAAAUUUACCUCGCCAAACAUGUGCAGAAAGAUUCCGUGAAAAGGUUAUCCUAUCAAAACUCAGUUUAUCGUGUAUGUUUGCGUAAUGCUGUCCGUUGCGGUACGUUGUUGCAGCCUAUGCUGGUGAUAAAUCUUUCUGCAUCACAUUCAAUUGGCUGUUACUUGGUGCUGGUGUCGUGUUACCGAAGUUGCAUUAUUAUUUUAUGAAAUUGGCAUUGUGUCAAUGAAUUUUACCGGUAAUAUGUUGAUAAGAAACAAAAAAAAAAAUGUGGCGUUGUUUAUGUAAAAAAAAAUAAUAAAUAUGUUUUGGGAUUGGAGGGGGGAUAUUUAAAAUUUGUAUAAAACACGUAACUUAAUAACCCUACAAACAUAUCCCUACCAAUGAAUCUAUAAUUCCAACAAACUUUUGAAUAUUUAUUCAGACCCCAUAAACAUAUCCACCAACUCAAAUUAGUACCUUAAACCAUAUUAAAUAAUGUUAAAACCUACCAAUGUAAUAUUUGUAAUGAAUAAAAAUUUUCUUACCAGGAAA